GACGGUUUGGCCGAGUGGUCUAAGGUGCCAGAUUUAGGCUCUGGGUCCGAAAGGGCGUGGGUUCAAAUCCCACAAUGUUUA
rnacentral:tRNA from 1 species